AAGAGAGGGACGGAACCUACACAGUUACACAUGGACCCUCUGGGAACACCUAUGAACUCCUCUAUUUGACUGAAAGCCAUGGAUACAACUCUUAUUGGUUGUCUGAUGUAGGUUACUGGGAACUGGUAACAACAGAGUCUGUGAUUGGCUAACAACAUUUAGAUCGGUAUACAGCGACAUAAAAUAAUAUACCAUAAGGUGUUAGACAGAUUACCUAUAGAUUGGACAUAAUCUUUUCUAGGCAAUUAGCGAUAACAGGAUAGCGAUAACAGGAAAUACACAAGCCGUAGGCUACACUAUAGCUCAAGGUGGCUACUUCGCAAUGUCGGCUCGCACGGGAAAAACUGUAAAUUUCUAACAUUAUGGUUGAGAUUUAAUUAAUAUAAACUAUGCAUGUUAGUUGCACGCAGAUGUUAGUAAGGCGUUGGUAUCAUGUCAAGUCAGUCAGAAGUUCAAUGGACAGCUAUGUGGUAGUAUGGUUGACUAGGCUUAAUUCUGGCACAUAUCACCCCCCAUAGUGCAAGUUACGUUUUUAUUGUCAUUACUGGCAGCUCCACAACCAGCUGAAGCGAUGCGCUCCCUUUCAACCACCAAUUUCACAGCACCGUUUGUUUGCGCAUGGCCAGUUGCUCUCGAGGUCUUUCGGUCCCCCUCGAAACAACCGGCAUCUUUACACUACAACAUCUUAUCACUGGAGCGUCAACGCUUGGGGGUGUUUGGCAAAAUAAGGAAGGGUGGCCGAAUCAUGACAUGAGCAGAUCGACUGAAUUUCGAUGGAGUCUUUGAAUGCCGUAGAGCUCUGUGAAUUGGGGGAUGGCGACAAGCCCGCUGCCUGCGAGGUCACUACAACUCCGCGAAAAGGUACCCAGUCAAGACCUUGGACAGUAGCUAGCACUGGAAUCGAGAACACGUCAUAUCAGGACGAGGAGCACGAGACGAGGUUCAGUCACCAGGGAGCAGACAGCUUGAGGAUUCAUCGGUCCACAUCUAAUGACAGGGGCUAUCAGUUACAACCCCAGCCUUUCCAGCGAGAUGAGCUGUCACACCGCUCUGAGGAGGGACAUGAGACUGACUUUAAAAACCUUUCACUCGACUACGGGUUCAUAUUUGCCAUGGUGUUCUUGGUGAGUGGAAUUGUACUGGUGGUCAUUGCCUACACCAUUCCCCGAGAGGCAAAGGUCAACCCAGAUCUGGUGUCAGCCCGUCAGAUGGAGAAACUGGAGAUGUACUACACACAACUGGGCUCGCACCUCGACAAGUGUAUCAUAGCAGGCCUGGGACUGUUAACUCUAGGGGGAAUGCUCUUGUCCAUCGUGCUAAUGGUGUCCAUAUGCAAAGGUGAGCUGUACCACCAGAGGACAUUUUUCCAACCCAGGAAAACAUACGGGUCGAUUCACCUCCGGAUGAGACAGUUGGGCGAGGGGGAAGAAUCUCUGUUUGAAUGUGAACUUAGCCACACUGGCACCACAGCUCUAGCCACUAGGCCUACAGAUGGAACACCGGUGCACAGUGGCACCCAACAGGAGUAGCACAAUAUGAGCACAUUUCUAUCCACAGACUGUCAAGGGUUGUAAUCAUUGCUUAACGGGCUUUGUAAAAAAGUGAAUCCAGCAAGAUACAGAGACUUGUGAAACACUGUCUGCGGAUGAAGAGGAUUAUGGGGACCUACUGUAUGUUAGUGAAUUUAAAACAAAAAUACAGUUUAAAAAUCAAUAUGUAUAAAGCUAUUACAACUGGAGCAGGCCAACCCUGCAGGGUGUGCAGGCUUCUGUUCCAGCCCAGCACUAACACACCUGAUUCAAUAUAUCAGAACUAAGUAGUUGAUAAUCAAGUGUGCUAUCGCUUGGCUGGAACAGAAGUCUGCUCACCCAGUAGAUCAGGGAUCAGUGGAAGGAGGUUCGCCACCUCUGGUAUUGACUUUCUUUUGUUCACCUGAAAUUAUGCUUUAGUAAUAAUAGCCUACUUGUUACUAAGAUGUCCAACCUUUACAUAUGAGUUAGCUUACUUUUAUACUUUGAAAUAUGAAAGUGAUCAUUCUUUGAAGUGAAGUGUUUAAACUCGUUUUUCGUGAUGAAUUACUGUCAAUGUUAGUUAAUCACAAAUCACAAUUGUGCUAUAAAGAGGGGAAGAGAAUAUGUCUCUAAUUUGUCUGUUUCUGUGGUGUAUUCUCAAAUGAACAAACGGUACCUGAAAAAAAGAGUGACAAUCAAAUAUCAGCCAUGUGAACCUAUUUUGCAGCUUGUUAUGGUAUGCAACACCAAUGUAGCCAUAGGCCUACAGCAGUGGUUCCCAACUCUAGUACUUGAGUAGUCCUAACAGCACACACAAUUCUUCAACUCAUUGAGGGCCUGAUGAUUAGUUCACAAGUUGAAUCAUGUUUGUUUGUCCGGGGCUUCAGUAAAACUGAACUAUUGGGUGUACCUGAGGACCGGAGUUAGGAACCAUUGGCCUACUGUAUGAUGGCAUUAGUCUUAUGGGUAUUUGCAUGGCACCCAAUUGACAGUCUGCAUCUGUCCCGAGAAUAGCUUAACUCACACAUCGUUUACAUUUUGUUGAGCUAGAUGUUCUCAAUUUAAAAAUGAUACCCCAAGACAAGGUAUGAGGCUAAUCGUUAUACUAGAUUUUGUACAUGCCUUGUGCUGACAUUUUUAAUUGUUUAGUGCAAAUCCAACCCUUGUAAUCUAGGUGGUGAGAUGUCUGGAAGCAGGAGAUGAUGGGAUCCUUAUCUUAAAACAUACACACAACUACUACCAAGUUCAAUGCUCGACACUUUUCUCCCAGAAGGUCUGAGUGGCACUUGGAGGUGCCACUGUGAUAAUGAAGAUUGUCUAAGGCAAACCAUCACAAAAAUGUAAUUCUCUAUGUAAAUGUGUCUGAAUUGUAAAAUAAAGAAAAGUUAGGCUAUAAGAAAUACAUUUUAUUCAAUGGCGCAAGGAAAAGCAGACACAAAAUACACUGCUCAAAAAAAUAAAGGGAACACUUAAACAACACAAUGUAACUCCAAGUCAAUCACACUUCUGUGAAAUCAAACUGUCCACUUAGGAAGCAACACUGAUUGACAAUAA